UACGUAGGGUGCGAGCGUUAAUCGGAAUUACUGGGCGUAAAGCGUGCGCAGGCGGUCUGUUAAGACCGAUGUGAAAUCCCCGGGCUUAACCUGGGAACUGCAUUGGAAACUGGCGGGCUGGAGUGUGGCAGAGGGGGGUGGAAUUCCACGUGUAGCAGUGAAAUGCGUAGAGAUGUGGAGGAACACCGAUGGCGAAGGCAGCCCCCUGGGUCAACACUGACGCUCAUGCACGAAAGCGUGGGGAGCAAACAGG
rnacentral:rRNA from 1 species